UCUAACAUUCACAAAAUUUUUCAUUCUGCCUCGCUCUUCUGGGUGUUGGUCUGUAUUUGCUUGCGACUUGGCUGUGUCGCAUCAACGAUUCGCAUGUUUCAUUUAGCUCAUCCCUUUCCAUCGUUGGAGAGAAACUCUUGCGUCGCUUUUCUGGGACUUGUCCAAAUUCGCUUGCUACACCAAUCGUUCACGCAAGCGUUCUCCUCUCGCCCGCUCUUUGUAUCAUUGUACAGGUACUCCCCGAUAUACGCUAUCAAUGCGUACCGGAGGCAAUAGCGUAUCUCGAAUAUUCAAUAGCGAAAGUCGAAUUUCGAGGUUUUCAGUCAAAUUAUAACUAAUAUCCGUAUAACUUUGCAUGAAGUGGUAGGUUUUAGCCACUAAAUUAGUUAUUUGAUCUAAUUUCAACUGAAUUUUUCAAUUUUAUACCAUUUGAAAUGGUUUUUAAUAUUCAACCAAAAGGGAAUUUAUUUUGCAUUUGACAUUCGAUUUCUAAAAUUAGUACUACUUGUUCAAAGAACCGUCAAAUUUAGAAAAAAGCGUAUAGCGAAAUCGUGUAUAUCGAGUAUGGCGUAUAUCGGGGAAUACCUGUAUAGCCACACGAAGAAGGCGCUGCUUCGCGUUCACAUGAAAAUGUGGUAGUGUGAAAUCAAGUAUGCAAGCGGUAGGACGCGUCGGUGUGUGUCCGUUUUUUCUCUCGUGAAACCAGUACGGAAAAACUUUUUGAAAUCGUAACACACGCACGAACGGAAGUGAGCACGGACCACAACAGAAGCAAUAUUCAAUUGGUUGGAGUGCCGAAAACAGAACAGGAGAGGAAAGAAGGCAGAAACGAUCCGAUCCUCCAACGUGCUAGCGCCUGGUAGCGGAGAAGCGGCAGGAAGGUAGAGACGAACAUCCAGCUCGCUAGUGCAGCACGUGGGAGCAGCAAGAGGGAAGCAAGCAGGAAAGUACACACCAUUCGACGAAGGCAAAGCUGGAGGAAAGGAAGAACGAGGAGAGAAGGCAGGCAAGACGGGUACGUGUGUUUCCCGCACCGGUUUUAGGCAGUGUGAAUUGUGUGAGUAUGUAAAUAUGUAUGUGCGAGUAAGAAGGUAAAAUAAAGAGCGUAAGCAUGUGCAGAAUGGACAAAAGAGAGUAAGAGUCUUUGUAGGGAGAAUGGAGAGAAUGAAAGAAAUUGAACAAUAAUGUAGUAUACAGAAACUAGAUGUAUGAUACACGCUGUCGCACCGUUGCAGAGACGUGCUCUUUAGUGCUGCUAAUGAGCACGAUUUGAGAACGUUUUGAGCCCGUUUUUUCUCAUACAAAAUUUUAAAAUG